GACGAACGCUGGCGGCGUGCUUAACACAUGCAAGUCGAACGGAAAGGCCCUGCUUUUGUGGGGUGCUCGAGUGGCGAACGGGUGAGUAACACGUGAGUAACCUGCCCUUGACUUUGGGAUAACUUCAGGAAACUGGGGCUAAUACCGGAUAGGAGCUCCUGCUGCAUGGUGGGGGUUGGAAAGUUUCGGCGGUUGGGGAUGGACUCGCGGCUUAUCAGCUUGUUGGUGGGGUAGUGGCUUACCAAGGCUUUGACGGGUAGCCGGCCUGAGAGGGUGACCGGCCACAUGGGGACUGAGAUACGGCCCAGACUCCUACGGGAGGAAGCAGUGGGGAAUAUUGCACAAUGGGCGGAAGCCUGAUGCAGCAACGCCGCGUGCGGGAUGACGGCCUUCGGGUUGUAAACCGCUUUCGCCUGUGACGAAGCGUGAGUGACGGUAAUGGGUAAAGAAGCACCGGCUAACUACGUG
rnacentral:rRNA from 1 species